GAUGAACGCUGGCGGCGUGCUUAACACAUGCAAGUCGAACGGAAAGGCUCCUGCUUGCAGGGGUACUCGAGUGGCGAACGGGUGAGUAACACGUGGGUGAUCUGCCCAGCACUUCGGGAUAAGCCUGGGAAACUGGGUCUAAUACCGGAUAGGACGAUGGUUUGGAUGCCAUUGUGGAAAGUUUUUUCGGUGUGGGAUGAGCUCGCGGCCUAUCAGCUUGUUGGUGGGGUAUUGGCCUACCAAGGCGCCGACGGGUAGCCGGCCUGGGAGGGUGUACGGCCACAUUGGGACUGAGAUACGGCCCAGACUCCUACGGGAGGCAGCAGUGGGGAAUAUUGCACAAUGGGCGCAAGCCUGAUGCAGCGACGCCGCGUGGGGGAUGACGGCCUUCGGGUUGUAAACUCCUUUCGCUAGGGACGAAGCGCAAGUGACGGUACCUGGAGAAGAAGCACCGGCUAACUACGUG
rnacentral:rRNA from 1 species